GAUGAACGCUGGCGGCGUGCCUAAUACAUGCCAGUCGAGCGAACGGACGAGAAGCUUGCUUCUCUGAUGUUAGCGGCGGACGGGUGAGUAACACGUGGAUAACCUACCUAUAAGACUGGGAUAACUUCGGGAAACCGGAGCUAAUACCGGAUGAUAUUUUGAACCGCAUGGUUCAAAAGUGAAAGACGGUCUUGCUGUCACUUAUAGAUGGAUCCGCGCUGCAUUAGCUAGUUGGUAAGGUAACGGCUUACCAAGGCAACGAUGCAUAGCCGACCUGAGAGGGUGAUCGGCCACACUGGAACUGAGACACGGUCCAGACUCCUACGGGAGGCAGCAGUAGGGAAUCUUCCGCAAUGGGCGAAAGCCUGACGGAGCAACGCCGCGUGAGUGAUGAAGGUCUUCGAAUCGUAAAACUCUGUUAUUAGGGAAGAACAUAUGUGUAAGUAACUGUGCACAUCUUGACGGUACCUAAUCAGAAAGCCACGGCUAACUACGUG
rnacentral:rRNA from 1 species